rnacentral:rRNA from 1 species
GUCGGCAAACAGACUUUGAUCCGGAGAUGUCUGAAUGGGGGAACCCAGCCAUCAUAAGAUGGUUAUCUUGUACUGAAUACAUAGGUGCAAGAAGCGAACCAGGGGAACUGAAACAUCUAAGUACCCUGAGGAAAAGAAAUCAACCGAGAUUCCCUUAGUAGUGGCGAGCGAACGGGGACUAGCCCUUAAGUGGCUUUGAGAUUAGCGGAACGCUCUGGAAAGUGCGGCCAUAGUGGGUGAUAGCCCUG